ACGACUACAACAACUCCAGCUGCAACUACUACUACUACCUCUGCAACCAUAACAACUACUCCAUCGACUUCUUCAACAACUACAGUUACAACUACAACCACCACAACCCCUACUACUACUGAUACAACCACAACCCCCACUACUACUAAUAGUACAACCACUACCCCCACUAGUACUGAUACAACUACAACUACCACAACUUCAACUACUACAACUACAACCACCACGACCCCAACUACAACUAAAGCAAAAACUUGCCCAUCGGGCUACGAUAUAUUUAAUGGUUCCUGCUAAUACUUUCGCUCCAGUUAUAAGGACUGGGCAGAUGCACAAAAUGAUUGCAAAUUUUAUGGCAGUGAGUUGGUCAAGAUAACAAGCCAAGGAGAGAAUGACUUCAUUAAAGGUCAAUUAGGAAGCGGUGGCUUCUGGAUUGGACUGAAUGACAGAGCAACGGAAAACAGCUUUAAAUGGUCUGUGGACAACAGCGCUGUUGAAGACAAUGGCAAUUAUUC